rnacentral:rRNA from 1 species
GACGAACGCUGGCGGCGCGCCUAACACAUGCAAGUCGAACGAGCGAGAGGAGGUUUACUUUCUCAAGCGAGUGGCGAACGGGUGAGUAACGCGUGAGGAACCUGCCUCAAAGAGGGGGACAACAGUUGGAAACGACUGCUAAUACCGCAUAAGCCCACGACCCGGCAUCGGGUAGAGGGAAAAGGAGCAAUCCGCUUUGAGAUGGCCUCGCGUCCGAUUAGCUAGUUGGUGAGGUAAUGGCCCACCAAGGCGACGAUCGGUAGCCGGACUGAGAGGUUGAACGGCCACAUUGGGACUGAGACACGGCCCAGACUCCUACGGGAGGCAGCAGUGGGGAAUAUUGCACAUUGGGGGAAACCCUGAUGCAGCGACGCCGCGUGGAGGAAGAAGGUCUUCGGAUUGUAAACUCCUGUUGUUGAGGAAGAUAAUGACGGUACUCAACAAGGAAGUGACGGCUAACUACGUG